UGUUUUGGCUUUGUCAUUAUGUGGUAUUGAGGGGAUAAUUUAUUUUAAAUCCAUUUUAGAAUAAGGAUGUAACGAUGUGGAGAAGGUCAAGGGGUCCGAAUACUUUCCGAAUGCACUGUAUAUACUCUGUCAACAUGAACUUGCCACAUUUCUGCAUAUCUAAAUGUUGAAAGGGUUCUUUGUAUCAAUGAAGAUGUCAUUUAGGUGGUACAAAUGGUAAGGAUACAGAGUUUCUCCACUUUAACAUGUUAUUCUAGUGCCUGGUUGUUUCUGCCUCAAUUCAGCCAUUUUCCCCCAAAUGACAUCUGAUCUCUAGUGUCUUUGCCCUGUGAGUCAGUAAGCACAUCAACAGUGUAUGUGGUGUUGCGUGUCCUUCUGUCCAUGUAGGUCAAUCACUAAGGUUAAAUUUGUGUUCUUUGAGGACAGGCAAUACCAAGCAGAGUGUCAAACAACCCCAGAACUCACUGUCUGCACUAUAGAGAGAUGAUUGACAAUUCAAUUAAAUUGUCAGAAUUGACAGUCCUUACCCAAAAGUUCAAAUUUUGAAUAUUCUUUUGAACAAUCAUUUAUAUAAUUUUGUUUAAAUAUUUAUACAGAAACAUGCAUGUAUAUUUUUGUCAGAUAUAUAUUUAUGUAUGUUCAAAUGUUUUUUAUUUUUAAAAGCUGCCCAAAUAAUUAUUCGGUUUAAAAUGAUUCUCUCAAAGGCUAAAAGGUAGAGAUUGUGUUAUGAGAGAAAUAACUUAUUUUUGUACCAUGAUGAUAUACAAACUCUACCAAAUAGAGAGAGAUGUCUGUAGGAAGGUACACUGAGGAGUGGGGGGGGUGAAAGGCAGAGAAGGGAUUCCAAUACAUGAACCUAGUAUAAUUUCUAGAGUUGCAUUAAAAGCCUUUGAGGUUACAUUUCUGUUCGAAGGUCUUAGGCUUGUGGUACAUGUUACCCACCUGACUGGUUCCCAUGUAUAAUUGUGUCAUUGAAAGAGGGGCCUGGGUUUUAAUCGCUAACUCUGAGUGUCUAACUGAAUGUAGUAAUAACUUGAACUGAAAAGCCCACCAGCCUCAGUCAAGUUUUGUUUAUAGAAACUUUGUGUGGUGUUGUUUACAUCAACUUUGUGCUGUUUAACUAUGUGCCUCAGUCUACGUUUCAGUUGCUCACUUCAAGGGUAUGAAACUGUCAUUUGUAUUAUAUGCCUGUUUGAUGUGAGAAAUUGUCUCCACAGAUUAUCAAUUACAAUUGAUAUCCGCUAUUAUUGGUAUCAAAUGAAGAUUUUAAGGUCAAGACAGUCCGGUCUUAUUGAAAAAUGGGCUAGAAAACAACCUACAAAUAGCUUGCGUGAAAGUGGGGAUAUUUUCAGACUUUCAUUGUCUCUAAAAAACAACUUUGAAAGGAGAGGUUAUGUUUUCAUUAACAAUGAAUAUCGUUUGUGCUUGACUUUCUCCAUUCUCUCUGUUUUGAGCUUUUACAAUGUUAUUUUGUCAGUUGAGCUGUUUACUUUCAAGUACAUGUGUAUAGCGGUUUGCGAAUCCCUUUCAAUUUCUAAGAUAUAAACUGGGUGAUUGGAACCCUGAAUGCUGAUUGGCUGAAACUCAUGGUAUAUCAGACUGUAUACCAUGGGUAUGACGCAACUGCUCUAAUUAAGUUGGCUUUUAAUAGCAAUAAGGCACCUCGGGGGGUUGUGCUAUAUUGCCAAUAUAAUGUAACGACCCUGGGUUUAUACGCGCGGAAAUCGACUCUGCCGCAUGAGCAUGCUUUUGCGAUACAGUCGAUAGCGCGUCGGACCUCGGGCUCGAAGGUCGAGGGUUCAAGACCGGCGCCUUGCUGUUUGUACUUGGCCGGACGCGCUCUUUGAAAGGAGGGAGUAAGCGCGGAAAUCGACUGUGCCACACGAGCAUGCUUCUGCGGCAGAGUCGAUAGCGCGCCGGACCUCGGGCUAGAAGGUCUAGGUUUCGAGGCCUGCUCCCUACCAUGGCUAAGUGGUGCGAACCUCUGUCGUGAACAUACCACAGGCCUUCUUGCUUAAUUAUACAUUCUAUUUCAAAGCUUGUUAUCAUGUUGCAAAAGUGUCUCUACAAUGUUUUGUGGAGUAAGUUACAACAUUAUGUUUACAAACAUAACCUUGUGGUCAUCAGAACAGUAUUUAACUAAAUUAAAUAGAUUGUGUACUGACAGUUUCAUGACCAUUUGUAUUCUUACACAUGAGAACAUGUACUAUUUAAACUAUUUUAGAUCUGUAAAUGUGUCAAGAGAAUGUACUGUGUAUAAAUGUUUUGUAAGUAAAUUUGAAUCAUCCAAAAUGAAAA